GCGGCCGCCAUGGCUGGAUGCGGCCCCAGCGCCUGCCCAUCCUCCCGCUGCCGGUCACGGCCAGCGCUGGUUUUAGCUCCCGCUCCGUGUGGAUCAGCCCCGGGGCGCCCGCCCGGGUGCCCGCAGUUUGGCCACCUUCCAUCCGAUGGAGCAAUGUACCUGGUGGGCUGACUGAGGCUUGCAUCACCCUAAACCAGAUUGCAUCUGCAAUCAGCUGGAAGUGACUACAUGCCUGAACUGACAAAUGAUGCUGUGGAAACACGGAUCUCUGGAGCAAGAUGCUUUUCCUGUAUCCUGUCUCUUUAUUGCCUGAUCCCCUGGAAGACGCAAGAGUGAGAAUCAGUGGCAUGUCCUUACCCUGCAAACACUCUGAGAACUGCUUUGACAUCCAAUGGAACCAAAUAGUGUGAUGUGGCCACAGCAAGCUCCUGCUCUUUCUACCAAGGUACAACGGCUCUGUGAUCCAAAGGAGUGGUGCUUGAACCUCCCUCUGCUCAGCUGUGUUCUUUUCUCUGACUGUAACAGCACUGUUUCUUUCCAACACACAAUGUUCAUGCAAAAAUGCAGAUUAAAGCAGGUUUCCUACUUCAAUCUUAAGGAAUUAAGGAAAAUUAAGGGAAGGUGAGCUAGAUCACUGUGAGGAUAGUUGCCUCCUGUUGUGGAAUAGAAGGAAACCCAGUGCCAUGCUCCCUCCCAUUAGGUCUGAUACAACUGCUGUAUGAUCAAGAGACAUACAGCAAGUCUCAAAAUCAACCAUAAACCUAUAGGUCAGGCAAUCAGUGACUUGACAUUUCUCAUUGCAGAGUGAUAGUUUCAUGCCUUUAAUCUGCAUCACUGCAGGCAGUGUGUUACUGAAUUCAAUGAGGGCUGGAUCCCACUAUGAAUUUCAUUGUUUUCUACAAGUCGAUUAUAAAGAGAAACCUUUGAUAUCUAUUAAUUAUGUGUCUCUGAGUGAAAGGCUAUCGUAUGUAUAUAUGUAUUUCAUAACAGGAAGUGUAACAAACAUCUAUUUUUAUUACAUUAAUAA